rnacentral:rRNA from 1 species
CACGUAGGGGGCAAGCGUUAUCCGGAAUGAUUGGGCGUAAAGGGUCCGCAGGUGGCAGUGUAAGUCUGCUGUCAAAGAAUGAGGCUUAACCUCAUCAAGGCAGUGGAAACUACACAGCUAGAGUACGGUCGGGGUAGAAGGAAUUCCCGGUGUAGCGGUGAAAUGCGCAGAUAUCGGGAGGAACACCAAUGGCGAAGGCAGCUCGCUGGGACGUUACUGACGCUGAGACGCGAAAGCGUGGGGAGCAAACAGG